UACGAAGGGGGCUAGCGUUGCUCGGAAUCACUGGGCGUAAAGGGUGCGUAGGCGGGUCUUUAAGUCAGGGGUGAAAUCCUGGAGCUCAACUCCAGAACUGCCUUUGAUACUGAAGAUCUUGAGUUCGGGAGAGGUGAGUGGAACUGCGAGUGUAGAGGUGAAAUUCGUAGAUAUUCGCAAGAACACCAGUGGCGAAGGCGGCUCACUGGCCCGAUACUGACGCUGAGGCACGAAAGCGUGGGGAAGCCGAACGA
rnacentral:rRNA from 1 species